rnacentral:rRNA from 1 species
CCUACGGGGGGCAGCAGUGGGGAAUAUUGGACAAUGGGCGCAAGCCUGAUCCAGCCAUGCCGCGUGAGUGACGAAGGUCUUCGGAUUGUAAAGCUCUUUUGGCGGGGACGAUAAUGACGGUACCCGCAGAAUAAGCCCCGGCUAACUUCGUGCCAGCAGCCGCGGUAAUACGAAGGGGGCUAGCGUUGUUCGGAAUUACUGGGCGUAAAGCGCACGUAGGCGGAUUGCUAAGUCAGGGGUGAAAUCCCGGGGCUCAACCUCGGAACUGCCUUUGAUACUGACAGUCUUGAGUCCGGAAGAGGUGAGUGGAAUUCCUAGUGUAGAGGUGAAAUUCGUAGAUAUUAGGAAGAACACCAGUGGCGAAGGCGGCUCACUGGUCCGGUACUGACGCUGAGGUGCGAAAGCGUGGGGAGCAAACAGGAUUAGAUACCCUUGUAGUC